rnacentral:rRNA from 1 species
AACGAACGCUGGCGGCAUGCCUUACACAUGCAAGUCGAACGGUAACGCGGGGCAACCUGGCGACGAGUGGCGAACGGGUGAGUAAUGCAUCGGAACGUGCCCAGUAGUGGGGGAUAGCCCGGCGAAAGCCGGAUUAAUACCGCAUACGACCUACGGGUGAAAGGGGGGGACCGCAAGACCUCUCGCUAUUGGAGCGGCCGAUGUCAGAUUAGGUAGUUGGUGGGGUAAAGGCCUACCAAGCCGACGAUCUGUAGCUGGUCUGAGAGGACGACCAGCCACACUGGGACGGAGACACGGCCCAGACUCCUACGGGAGGCAGCAGUGGGGAAUUUUGGACAAUGGGCGCAAGCCUGAUCCAGCCAUGCCGCGUGCGGGAAGAAGGCCUUCGGGUUGUAAACCGCUUUUGUCAGGGAAGAAAUCUUUUGAGCUAAUACCUCGGAAGGAUGACGGUACCUGAAGAAUAAGCACCGGCUAACUACGUGCCAGCCGCCGCAGUAAUAC